GGUGGCCUGGCCCAGGCAGCCCCCUGGGCACAUUGGGGACCCCCUGCCCACCAGCCUGGCAUCUCUCCCCCUCCCCAUGCUAUGGGCGCUGCGUGUGGCUAGGGGACUGGAUGUCCCUGCCCCACGGCAGAGCCGCCUCCAACCUUUCUUCUUUCCCCCGUCACUUCCCUAGGGUGUGCUCCCCUUCUGACCCCCAGCCGGGCAGUCAGAGUGUGUGUGUGUGUGUGUGUGUGUGUGUGAGUGUGUGUGUGCCCACGUGGGGAUGCCAGAAGAAAGGGCCCCACGUGGGAUGGUGUGGGCAGGGCUCCUCCAGGGUCUUAGGGGCUGUGAUUCCCAAAGCAAACCCCAUGGGAGGGUUGAGGCUGGCCCAGGAGGCCGGAACCCUCUCUUCUCCUCUGGACUCUGCCCCCCUCGUGGGUCCCAGACCAGACCCUGUCUCUCCUGGUCUCAGUUUCCCAACCGCCCCCGGAGGGGCUGGUGGUGAAACUGCCUCCGCCUGGCUCCGCGGAAGCAGCGGGGACUCUGUCCCCGCGUGGGUGUGGCGGGGCCGCGUUUGGGGGCGCUCGCGCCUCCCUCGGCAGCGGCAGGACCCCCAGGGGAGCUGGCCGCCGGCGCGCACGUGACCUCGCCCCGCCGCGCGCACACGCCGGACCAACGGCUCCGGGCGGGGCUGGGAGCCAGUUCCAGUCGUCGUCUAACUGCUCCGUGACUGUACGUUGGUUGGGGCGUUGGAAGACUUCCUGGAUCCCUGUUGGGGCUGGUCGAGCGGGCUCUGGGGUGGAGAACUGAGCUGGGGGCUCCUGUCUCGGAGCAGCCUGCGCCCAGAGGCGGUUUCGGAAGUUUCCAACGCCGCAAGGACUGGCCUCCGAGCCCAGGAGAGGCCUUCACCCAGAGCUCACCCUCUAAGCCGGACUCAGGGGACACUGUGACCUCUUUGCUCUGCAUCCUGGUCCCUAGUCUGGAGGUCUGCUCGUUCGUGUAUGGAGGGACCAUCUGGAGACCUCCGUCGCCUUGGUGAAGGAGAGGGGACCCCGCCCCCCCGCAGGCCUGCAGGAGUCUGGGUGCUGACCACAUUGUUGGCUGGCCUCACUGUGUGAGCCUUCUGUUCCACGUUUUGGCCUGUUACAGCAUCAGUGCCAGCUCUAAAACAAGCUCCAAAGCUAGUGCCGGCUCCAGCGCCAGCUUGACCUCCAGUUCCGGAGCCAGCACCACCUCCAGUGUCAGAUCUCACACGAGCUCUAGUACCAAAUCUGGAGUUAGAGCCAUUUCUGCAUGAGCCCAACAGCUAAAUGUAGUACUGCCUACAGAGCUAGAGCCAACUCCAGCACUAGCUUUUGCAGCAGUUCCAGCUCCAGUGCCACUUCCAAAUUUAGAGCCAGUGCCAGCUGCAGAGUCACAGCCAGCUCUAUCACCAGAUCUAGCAUGAACUCCGGAGCCAGAACUGGUUCCAACAUCAGCUCAUGCAAAAGCCCUAGAACUACAGCCAGCUCCAGAACUAUCUCUAGCACCAGCUCCAGGCCGAGAACCAUCUUCAACACCAACUCUAUCACCAACUGCAGAGAUAGAGGCAGCUCUAUCAUCAACUUAAUUCUCGGCUCCAGACCAGCUCUAGAGUUUGAAUCAGAGUUAACACAAAUUCCAGAGUAACAACAACAGGAACCAAACUAGAGCCUGCUCCAGUACCAGCUCUGGCAACACUCUAGAGCCACAAGCAGCUCUAGAGCUAAAGCCAUCUCUAGAGCUAGUGUCAGUGCUAGAGCUAGCUCUAACACCAGCUUCCAAGCUAGAAAAAGCUCCAGUGCCAGCUCCAGAGCUAGAGCCAACUCCAGCACAAUGUCAAAAGCUAGAGCUAGCUUCAAUACCAGCUCCAGCACUCAAGAGGCUGAGUGAUCUCUGGACCCAGUUCCAGUCAAAGCUCCAGACUCAGAGCCAAUUCCAGCACCAGCUUUAGAGACUGAUCCACUGCUAGAUCCAGUUCCACUACCAGCUCCAGAGCUAGAGCCAUCACUGGCUCCAUAGCCCGAGCCAGCUCCAGCACCAGCUCUACCAACAGCUCCAGCACCGGAGUUCAAACCAGCUCCACAGUUAGAGCCAACUCCACUUGCAACACUUGCAUCAACUCCCGAGAUAGAGACAGCUCCAGCGUCAGCUCCACUGCUGGUUUCAUUUCAGGGCUGGUGUUCUUCCAUGAGCUAGAGCUAGCUUGAACACUAGCGAAGCCCCAACUCCAGAGAUAGGGGCAACUCUAUCGCCAACUCCUGUGCCAGCCCCAGCGACAGUUCUAGUGCUCACUUUAGAGUAAAAAAGCCAAUUUAGAGCCAGUGCCAAGGAGGAGUCAGCUCCAGCCCCAGCUCUAGCAUUGGCUCCAGAGUUAGAGCCAUUCUUGGCAUCAGCUCCAGAGCUAGAGUCAGCACCAAGUUCAUAGCUAGAGCCUGCUUCAGCAGCAGUUCCAGAACCAGCUUCAGAGCUAGAACCCCACAAGUGCCGGCUUCUGCACCAGCUCCAGAGCAAGAGCUGGCUUGAAUACCAGUAGCAGACUUAGAGCCAGUGCCAGCUGGGGAGAAAGAACCAGCUCCAGCAACAGCCUAACGCCAACAUCAGAGCUAAACCAUGCUCUGGUACCAACUCUCCCACCGAUUUCAGAGAUAGAGGCAGCUCUAUCACCAACUCCUGUUCCAGAGCCCGCCCCGACACCAAUUCCAGAAGUGGAGCCAGCACCAGAGCUACAAACAGCCCCACCACCAGAGCCGGGACUCGCUAUUCAACUAACUAGAGCCACAAGAACCAGAUCUAGCACCAGAACCAGAGUUAGAGCCAGCUCCAAAGCCAGAGCCAGCCCCAGCCCCAGCACAAAAGAUCAAGCCAGCUCUGGCGCCAGCUUCGGAACUAGAGCCAGCGCCAGCCCAACAGCCAGAGCCGGCUCCAGCACCUGCUCUCACCCCAGGGACAGCUCCUGCACAGGUCCACGGCUAGGUCCAUCACUAACUCCAGCACCAGCAGUAAGAGUAGCUCUAUAGCUACAGCCAGCUCCAGUAGCAGAUCCACAGCUAAAGCCACUCCAGCACCAGCUCUAGAGCCAGAGCCAGCUACAGCAAUAGCUUGAGCACCAGCUCCAGUGCCAGAGUUAGAGCCAGCUCAAGAGCCAUAUCACACUGCAGAACCAGGUCUGCACUGUCUCUGGAGGUAGAUCCAGCUCCAGCACCAGCUCGAGAAGGAGUCCAGGACAUCACCCUCGUGGGUGGGGCAGGCCUGGGGCUAAGGGGCAGGACAUUCCCUGCCAGGCAGGUCACUCCCAGGUUGCCUCGACUUCCAGCUCCUCCUCCUCUCUCCCUCCAUGAGGUCUCAGCCCCAGGGUGUCCGCAGCACUGCUUUCCCAGACAGGGCUCAAAGUUGACAAAGAGAACUCGGGUGUUGGAAACUGUGGCCAAUACCUUAAAAACUCUAUACAUUUUGGCCCAGAACUCCACUUCAUGGAUUCUGUCCUAAAUAGAGAUUUCUGGAUGCAGAUGUUCCCUUCAGCACGAUGCUGAGAGUGAAAAAUUGGAAAUGGCCUGUGUUCCACAGCAGGGCUCUUUUUUUUUUUUUUUUAUUGAGUUAUUGAUAGGUUACAAUCUUGUGAAAUUUCAAUUGUACAUUAAUGUUUGUCAG